GGCUGUGGCUGCCCAGAGAGCUCAGGAACGUUGUUUGCAGCUGUGCUCCACAGCUGAGCAGAACGGCCGGACCCAGAGAGGAGCCUCCAUGGGCUCAUAUAAGAGCCAGCCAGUGGAAGGAAAAUCUGGACCUGGGCAGCUUUCUGAGGAGGUGUUCUGUGCAGCCUAAGAGCCCCUUCACCAGUGGGACGGCACCGGAGCCCUCUUGACAAGUUGGAUUGAUUGUAGCAGAAAUGAGAAGGAAAGCUGUAAACAAGCUCCCAUUGAUUGCUGGAGUGGCAUUGGCUUCACAGGGAACUUGAAGUAACAUCAGGUUUGGGAACCGCAGCCACAAGAAAUAACGAAGAACAACAGAUGUCUGCAUUUCUGAAGGGUUUGGAUUGAACUCUGACAAGCAUUGGAUUGUGCAUCAGCUGUUGCAGAAGCACCACUUCUCAUUUCCUGUGGAGAAAGAAACAGCAGCAUUUCGUGUUCACCUGGAGGUCACACCUGGAGCUGGGAUGUUCCAGGCUGCCAAAUCACAGUGCUGAGGCAGUGGCACUGCAGGAGUGCCUGCUGCCAGCGGCCGCUCACACUGCAUGGAGGGAACCUUCGCACCUCAUGGCAGCAGGGACAGAAACGUGUCCCACUGUGUCCCUGCCUCCUGCCCAGCUGAAGAAACAAUAAUUGUAUGGAAACGUUCCCCUGAUCUGCUGAAUGAAGCCAACAAGAGUUUUGCAGAUCCACUGAAAUCUUUUCUUCCUCCUUUAUCUCCUAAAAGUACAGUUCUAACUGGAGGAGAGUAUCAAGGUAACAUCUGCUGGACCAGCACUUGUGUUUCAAAAGACAUGCAAGCCACUAAGGUCUCCAAUGAGCCUUUGUCUUGCUUUUAUUAAGUGCUUUGUCAUUCUAGAAAACAUUUCAGAACUUGUUACAGCUGAAGAUGGCUGUAAAAUAUGGUAUCAUAAGGAACCACAGUGACAUACCCAUUUCUAUGUCUCCGUUCAGAUCACAGACAGGGAUGCUCAGAACAGAUGUCAAGGAAUUGUUGCUUAUUUGCAAUUACAUUUGACUUCCUUAGACAGCUCUCUACAGAGAAAGUUUCAUGUGGCUCUUCAUAUUUAAUGAGUAGUCUUUCUAGGUUUCUAAUUUUCAAAUAUUGACCAACUGUUACUACACCAAUAUAUUCUGCUUACAAAACAAGAAGGUGACUUCUGUGACUCAUUUGCAGGAGAUGGAUGGUGGGAGCUGUGCUGCAGCACCUCCCUUGGGCAGCCCCAUCAUGAUGUGGCUCCAGCAAAACCGGGGCUUUGUCUGUGCAGUGCUGUGGCUGCAAAGGGCACAGGGCAGCCAGCACUUCCCCAUGGCUCUUGGGCAGCUCCACACCUUCUAUGUGGGCUGAGGUCCUUCCUGCUGCAUCAGUGCAAGGCUGUUGGGGAGCACCAGCUGUGCUCUUCUGGGAGUGCUGCUGGCUGCUGGCUGCUGGCCCUCCUCUGCAGCCUGGACAAGUGCUUCAGAUCUCCACAAACAAUUUGAAAUUGAGGCACUGCAAAGCAUGACGCAGCUCUAGAAAGAGUCACUGACAAGACUGCUCUUGAGGGCCAUGUUCAUGGAGUGCAGGUGGAAUUUGCGUCUGAAUAUGUGUAUGUUUAUAUAUAAAUGUGUAUACAUGCAUACCUGCA